CAGAAAGAUACACACCGCAUGAUCUUACACAUGGAUAGGAAAGGGAGGAAAAGAAUGACAAGGAACUUGAGAGCAGCGUGGUGGUUACUACAGGCCAGGGAGGGUGGGGAGGAGGAAGAGGAGGGAAAUAUGGGCUGGUGAAUACAGCAGGGCCGCUGUGGCCAGCAGCAGGCAGCUCUGACAGUGACAACGCUAGACCGCACAUUUCAGAGAGGAGACUAAAUACCCUGGGGUGGAUUUAAGUUUUUUCUUUCUUUAUGUAUUUAGUUUGUUACCAGGCAUUGAACUGGGGACCUUGUGCUUGGGAAGCCGGCAGCAGAACCACUGAGCUAAAUGGCCCGCCCAUGGAAGACUUAAAUACUACUCAAUAUACUGAAACAUCAUGGUAGUCAGUGCAAGUACAUGGCACAUCUAUUUAAGAGUAUUACUUUCCGAAAACAACAACAACAACAACAAAAAGAACGCCUCAUCAGAGACACACAU
rnacentral:lncRNA from 1 species